rnacentral:rRNA from 1 species
UAGGGAAUCUUCCACAAUGGACGCAAGUCUGAUGGAGCAACGCCGCGUGAGUGAAGAAGGUCUUCGGAUCGUAAAACUCUGUUGUAAGAGAAGAACGUGUGUGAGAGUGGAAAGUUCACACAGUGACGGUAACUUACCAGAAAGGGACGGCUAACUACGUGCUAG